rnacentral:rRNA from 1 species
AGUGAACGCUGGCGGUAGGCCUAACACAUGCAAGUCGAACGGCAGCACAGUAAGCGCUUGCUCUUACGGGUGGCGAGUGGCGGACGGGUGAGGAAUACAUCGGAAUCUACUUUUUCGUGGGGGAUAACGUAGGGACACUUACGCUACUACCGCAUACGACCUACGGGUGAAAGCAGGGGAUCUUCGGACCUUGCGCGAUUGAAUGAGCCGAUGUCGGAUUAGCUAGUUGGCGGGGUAAAGGCCCACCAAGGCGACGAUCCGUAGCUGGUCUGAGAGGAUGAUCAGCCACACUGGAACUGAGACACGGUCCAGACUCCUACGGGAGGCAGCAGUGGGGAAUAUUGGACAAUGGGCGCAAGCCUGAUCCAGCCAUACCGCGUGGGUGAAGAAGGCCUUCGGGUUGUAAAGCCCUUUUGUUGGGAAAGAAAAGCAGCAGGUUAAUACCCCGCUGUUCUGACGGUACCCAAAGAAUAAGCACCGGCUAACUUCGUG